rnacentral:rRNA from 1 species
UACGGGGGGAGCAAGCGUUGUUCGGAUUUACUGGGCGUAAAGGGCGCGUAGGCGGUCGUGACAAGUCACUUGUGAAAUCUCCGGGCUUAACUCGGAACGGUCAAGUGAUACUGUCGGACUAGAGUACAGAAGGGGCAACUGGAAUUCUCGGUGUAGCGGUGAAAUGCGUAGAUAUCGAGAGGAACACCUGCGGCGAAGGCGGGUUGCUGGGCUGAUACUGACGCUGAGGCGCGAAAGCAUGGGGAGCGAACGGG